AGCGUGCUAAAGUUGUCAGCUAAGUGGCGUACGGGUGAGUAAUGUAUAGCUAAUCUGCCCUUUAGAAGGGAAUAACCACGGGAAACUGUGGCUAAUACCCUAUACUCCAUUAUAUCAUAAGGUAUAAUGGGAAAUGUUUUUUCGCUAAAGGAUGAGGCUAUAUCCUAUCAGUUUGUUGGUGAGGUAAAAGCUUACCAAGACUAUGACGGGUAGCUGGUCUGAGAGGAUGAUCAGCCACACUGGAACUGAGACACGGUCCAGACUCCUACGGGAGGCAGCAGUGGGGAAUAUUGCACAAUGGGCGAAAGCCUGAUGCAGCAAUGCCGCGUGGAGGAUGACGCAUCUAGGUGUGUAAACUCCUUUUAUAUGAGAAGAUAAUGACGGUAUCAUAUGAAUAAGCACCGGCUAACUCCGUGCCAGCAGCCGCGGUAAUACGGGGGGUGCAAGCGUUAUUCGGAAUCACUGGGCGUAAAGCGUGCGUAGGCGUUUUAGUAAGUCUUUUGUGAAAUCCUAUGGCUUAACCAUAGCACUGCAAGGGAAACUACUAAAAUAGAGUACAGAAGAGGUAGCUGGAAUUUCUAGUGUAGGGGUAAAAUCCGUUAAUAUUAGAAGGAAUACCAAUGGCGAAAGCAAGCUACUGGGAUGUUACUGACGCUGAGGUGCGAAAGCGUGGGGAGCAAACAGGAUUAGAUACCCUGGUAGUCCACGCCCUAAACGAUGAACACUAGUUGUUGGGAGACUUUGAUCUUUCAGUAACGCAGCUAACGCAUUAAGUGUUCCGCCUGGGGAGUACGGUCGCAAGAUUAAAACUCAAAGGAAUAGACGGGGACCCGCACAAGCGGUGGAGCAUGUGGUUUAAUUCGAAGAUACGCGAAGAACCUUACCAAGGCUUGAUAUCCUAAGAAUUUGCUGGAAACAGUGAAGUGUCGGUUUACCGAAACUUAGUGACAGGUGCUGCACGGCUGUCGUCAGCUCGUGUCGUGAGAUGUUGGGUUAAGUCCCGCAACGAGCGCAACCCUCGUUCUUAGUUGUUAACAGUUCGGCUGAAUACUCUAAGAAGACUGCCUUACGUAAGGGGGAGGAAGGUGAGGACGAUGUCAAGUCAUCAUGGCCCUUAUGCCUUGGGCUACACACGUGCUACAAUGGGAGGCACAAUGAGUUGCAAUACUGCGAAGUGGAGCUAAUCUUCAAAGCCUCUCUCAGUUCGGAUAGCAGUCUGCAACCCGACUGCUUGAAGUUGGAAUCGCUAGUAAUCGUAAAUCAGCAAUGUUACGGUGAAUACGUUCCCGGGUCUUGUACUCACCGCCCGUCACACCAUGGGAGUUGGUUUCACCCAAAAAUGGAAUGCUAACCUUUUUGGAGGCUACCAUUUACGGUGGGGUCGGCAACUGGGGUGA
rnacentral:rRNA from 1 species